rnacentral:rRNA from 1 species
GACGAACGCUGGCGGCGUGCUUAACACAUGCAAGUCGAACGAAGUGGCGAACGGGUGAGUAAUAAGUGAGUAACCUGCCCUCCUUUUUGGGAUAAGCCUUGGAAACGGGGUCUAAUACCGGAUAAAGGGGUCUGGGCUCGCGGCCUAUCAGUUUGUUGGUGGGGUGAUGGCCUACCAAUGCGGUGACGGGUAGCCGGCCUGAGCGGGUGAACGGCGACAUUGGUACUGAGAUGCGGCCCAGGGUGCUACGGGAGGGGGUAUUGGGGGAUAUUGACGAAAGGGUGAACGAGUGAUGCCGCGACGCCGCGUGGGGGUUUAAGGCUUUCGGGUUGUAAACCUCUUUCGCUAUCGAACGGGUAGGUGGAGAAGAAGCGCCGGCUAACUACGUGCCAGCAGCCGCGGUAAUUC